UGUAAGCGUAUACCAAAGUUGUUGCAGUUAAAACGCUCGUAGUUGAACCUUGGGCUUGGCUGGCCGGUCCAUCUUUUUUGAUGCGUACUGGACCCAGCCGAGCCUUUCCUUCUGGCUAGCCUUUUGGCGAACCAGGACUUUUACUUUGAAAAAAUUAGAGUGUUCAAAGCAGGCCUUUGCUCGAAUAUAUUAGCAUGGAAUAAUAGAAUAGGACGUUAUGGUUCUAUUUUGUUGGUUUCUAGGACCAUCGUAAUGAUUAAUAGGGACGGUCGGGGGUAUCAGUAUUCAGUUGUCAGAGGUGAAAUUCUUGGAUUUACUGAAGACUAACUACUGCGAAAGCAUUUACCAAGGACGUUUUCAUUAA
rnacentral:rRNA from 1 species